CUCCUUCCUCCUUUUCUUCUUUAAUUGGGUAGAAUCAGUCUUAGACACAUUUUUUGCAGCCCCUAUCAGAACAAACAUAUUCUCUAUCUUUUGAAGUACAUCAACAGGAACAAAGCAAGUAUUUACCUCUUUUGGGGUUUCUUGAUGUGUGACAGUGUCUGAAGAUCCAGGUUCAUCUCCCUCACUGGUAGAGAGGAAAUCAUCAGAGUCAGAGUUUGAAUUUGUCUCUAUUGCUGAGACUUGCUUCCUUUGACUAGACUGUAGUUUUGCAUUCAAGGAUUUCCUAAGAGAACCAGUAGCUACAAUUUUUCUUGCCAGCAUUUUCUGGUGACGAAAUCUAGGUUUUGGGGUUUCUAUGGGAGGUGAAGCAGAUGGGGUGGAAUUUGGUGAAAUGGGAGGUGGAGUUCAAGGAUUAUCUUGGGAAUUUUUCAUGUUUUUGAAUUUCUGGAGAGCAUAAGAGAAUAUUUUGGGAGUUUUGCAGUUUUUGGAGACGAAGGAGAUGAUCAGAAUCUUGUUUGAUGGAGUGACGGUUAUGAAGUGAUUAGAU
rnacentral:lncRNA from 1 species